AGGAGGUUAGGGCUCUUGAAGCCAUUAGUCUUUGAGAUAUGAGCUUUAUUAGUUUCAGUAAAGAGUGAUGGAGAUGGUGAAGUGAGUUGUUAGCCUAUGGGCUUUAUAUAGAUGGAUGAUUAAGCAGGGCUAGGGAUGAAAUCAAUGAUCUUUUUAGAAAUAUUCCCGAAUCUAUCUACGUGUAAAUGCAGUGGAUUGAUCAUUGGAGGCAUAGCCUGGCAUUGCAAUUUGC
rnacentral:lncRNA from 1 species